rnacentral:rRNA from 1 species
UAAAGAUUCAUCGCUGAUAGAUAGGCAUGCGUUCCAUUAGGCAGUUGGCGGGGUAACGGCCCACCAAACCGACGAUGGAUAGGGGUUCUGAGAGGAAGGUCCCCCACAUUGGUACUGAGACACGGACCAAACUCCUACGGGAGGCAGCAGUGAGGAAUAUUGGUCAAUGGGCGUAAGCCUGAACCAGCCAAGUCGCGUGAGGGAUGAAGGUUCUAUGGAUCGUAAACCUCUUUUAUAAGGGAAUAAAGUGUGGGACGUGUCCUAUUUUGUAUGUACCUUAUGAAUAAGGAUCGGCUAACUCCGUGCCAGCAGCCGCGGUAAUACGGAGGAUCCGAGCGUUAUCCGGAUUUAUUGGGUUUAAAGGGUGCGUAGGCGGCCUUUUAAGUCAGCGGUGAAAGUCUGUGGCUCAACCAUAGAAUUGCCGUUGAAACUGGGGGGCUUGAGUAUGUUUGAGGCAGGCGGAAUGCGUGGUGUAGCGGUGAAAUGCUUAGAUAUCACGCAGAACCCCGAUUGCGAAGGCAGCCUGCCAAGCCAUGACUGACGCUGAUGCACGAAAGCGUGGGGAUCAAACAGGAUUAGAUACCCUGGUAGUCCACGCAGUAAACGAUGAUCACUAGCUGUUUGCGAUACAGUGUAA